GAGUGACCAAAGGGAUGGAGCCAGGAUCCACCCCUACCCAGCCCUCAUUUAAGGGUUGGCAGUGGAGGUAAGAGCAUCUUGCUGGAGAUUUGUGUCUACUUGAGGCCUUCUGAAGCGUUACCAACAGGAAGCCUCAAUGGUUUUCUAACACUCACUCAUUCUACUGAGAACAAUCUCUGGGUAAUACCGAGAUCAGUCUUUAAAAUAAAACAAUGUAUUUCAUGACCACAAAGCCAGACAGAUGCCAGUGAUAAUGAUGUAACAGUGACAGAAAAAAAUCAGGCCCAAGAACUCAAUUGUGUUACCAGCUUGGCACAAACUUGUGUUUCUCUGCUGAGGAAUGACAGGCUGCUGGUGGUCCAACCAGCCCUGGGGAUUGUUUCAUCAGUAAAUGCUCUUCUGAAUGCUGUUAGCAAGGAACCUGAAUGCCUAUUUGCAGAUUGAGCUGCAAAACCAAUCAAGAACCCAUUCACACCACAGCUAGCAAGCCCUGCAUCACUCCUGAUUACAUAGCGCUGUAAGAACAAACCAUUUGGCAAGCAGUGGUUCCAGGCCUCAGAUUCUGAAGCAGUUAUAACCCAGGUGGGGCUUUGCUCUGCUCUCAUCCAUCCUUGGCUUUCUUGAAACACAAGCAGGUGAAAAUGAGUUUGACAAGUCACUGAGCAGCCUUGUCUGUACAGCUUCCAGAAUCUUGCACACAUAUCCCUACCAGAGUGGGCAUAAAAUGCUGCUGCUUGGUUUAUAUUAGUUGGAUUUCUGUGUAGUAUCUUAGGAGCGUGAACUAGUCAGCUGUCAGCAGCAUUGAGAAGACAGCUAACAUGAAGUUGUGACAACUAAGAGGAAUGGGCUAGAAUAAACCACGCUAACAAUUAUCUAGCUGUAUUUAUAAAGUAAGAUCUAGAAAGUAUGAUUGGAUCAGAGCAAGGACAGGCUUGCUGUAGGAACCUGAUAUGUGCUGAAGCAAGUGGGUCACAGAACAGGUCACUUUUUCAGAAUGCCAGUGAAAACAUGACUUCAAGCCUACUGUCCCAGAAUCUGUAAUUAGCAGCAGGAUCUUCCUGCAGACAGCCCUGCUGCAGCGUCACCAGGAGACAGUCCAACCUUCUUUUAAUUACAGGAGCUGUCAGUUCAGCUUGAUUAAAAAAGAUGAUUGAAGCCGCUUGUGACAACUUACUUUUGUGCCCAAUAGCUCACAGAGCCACUCACCACUGAUUUGUUCACUUGGCUGUGUCCUUAUUACGAGGGGGAAAAACAUACACAUUUUUAAUGUGCCAAACAUUGCACUUACAAGCAAUAGUUUGUGAAAUAUUGCUAGAACAACUUGUACCGCGCCAUCUGCUGCAUGCAGAGAGCUGAGAAACCACAGAUCUGCUUUUUGAGAUAGUUCUGAUCACUGUGUUUGUCAGCAACUUCGUUUCAGCCUUACCUUCAGCUGUGUAUGUGAACAGUACCUGAGAAAUACAUGUAAUGUAUGUCAGGAAUUGAAAUGGAUCUGUGCUCUGUAUCACUCUGUCCCUUCUGAGCUGACGUUGUCUUCUCACUUGUGAAGCACAGGAUGCACAAAUUGCAACUUAAGGUAUGAAAAUGAGUAUCAAACAGAAUCUGCAGGAGUAACUCUGCUGUCAUGGAGAACAGUGCAGCAGGGAAGGAGACGCCUGUAAUUUCCAUUCUGCAGGAGACUUUCCUCCAGACACUUAGCUGAGCUAUGCUUUAUUCCCCAAAUAAUUAGUUAAGAGUUAUUUAUACGGUAUGGUCCCACAAGAUUUCUGAUUUACAGUACAAAGAGUCAGGCACUGAAUACAGUGAUUAUAUUCCAUCUGCAUAGGGCAUUUACUGACAGGAAAGUCUGCGGGCAAGGAGCUCUGGCCCAAGCUCACUGCUUUUCACUGGGACGAAAAAUAAAGAGCAUUUUAGGAGGCCCACAAAGUACAGUUGUUAAACUGACCCUAUUUUCUCUCCCUCUUUCCAUUUUCCUGCAUCCAACCCUUCGGUUUCGCUGGAUUUCAAAGGGACACUUAUUUGUGCUUCUUCCUAUUUUAGGCCGUUUUUAUCAUGUGGCACAGCACUCCAACUGCCUUAGGGGAGCUUUAAUGAUAAUUUUAUUUUUAAAAGUAUAGGCUUAUCUUGCUUGACCUUGAUGCACUGAGUAAAAGGUUGCUAAACUCCUCCUCUAGAAAACAAAACAAGGAACAAAUGUCCUGAGCCUGUCGGAUCAAAAGCUCAAGUGUGGCGGUGCCUUUUGCUACCCCAAAAUAUAUCACCAAGGCAAUGGCAGCAGUGCUGCUAACAGGUAUAGCAAAGGCCUCCCAGCCAGGAUUUAAAUAAUCUCAUUUUCCUGCAGUCUGUUUUCUACAACACUCAGCAAGUCUUCUCGGAGAUGAAAAGCAUCUGACACCAUUCCAAAGAGUACCCUGCUACAGGAGGCGGUUAUCACUGCUCUUCAAGAAGAAAACAGGAGCGUGUCGCUGUUUAAAGGCCAUACAAGGAACCAACACCAAUUGGAAGCCAUUGGUUCUCAGUGAUUGUACCCCUCCUCUCAAACAACCUAAAGGAUAAGAGAGAGCCCACCUUCCUGUUCUCUACCCUGCUCUUUAUCCAGAAGGAAAACGACCUGUGGCUGCAGCACCAAGAACUUUUCUUGCCUGGCUGAACCAAUCUGGAAAAAAUCAUCUGCAAUUUGUGUUUGCUGCAGCUUCUCCCCAUUGAGGGACUGUCUCUAUGGAUCCAGUUAACCCUGCAGCUGCACUAAAAGGAAUACAAGUGUUUCAGCUCACACUCCUCCUCUCCAGUGUGUUUGGUGGUCCACUGCUUCCUUCUGUAAGUCACAGAUCACAUGCUAGGAAUGACAGCAUGAAGUACUUUGAAGGCCUAACUGCAAAAUUCACAGUUGAUUUUCUAUGUCUUGGAGAACUCUGCAGUGUUCAAGGAAAGCCUGCAGGAAGCCAGGUGAAGUAAACCAGGAGAAGGUCAGUAAGUGAAAGCUACGAUAGACAGCCACGUAUCCCUUUGCCACCUGCAAAAAAAGUAACUGAAGCGACCAAAACCUGAGUAAAAUGAAAUGGUUCCCUCACUGCUGGAACCACACGUACCUUGUGAGAACAAGAACCAAGCACUCAUCGUGGUACCUAAGCACUGCAAAUCAGUUUGGUGUGUGCAGGACUCUUACCUGCUAUGUCAAGCUUGGCAAUCUAUAUAUUUCUACCAUGUCUCUAAAGUUGUAGGUGUCAGGAUGCUGAUGUACAGCAGAGAUCUGAAUUUGUGUUAUUCUAUUUUAUGUUUUCCACGAGGUGCCUUCUAAAAUGCAAAAAUACAACAGGAUAAAGCAUCAAAUCAAUGAUACCAUAGUUGAAAGAGGCAGUGAAACAGUAAUCCUUUGCUUUAGCUGUAGUAAUAGUGGGUCAAGCAUCUCAAGCAAGCGUGGAGCUGUUUUGGUUUUCUAGUUGAUGCCGCUCCCUGAACUCCAAAGCUGUGAUAACACUGAGAAGUUAAGAAGCAGAUUUAGUGCUGCACUCUUGUUUUGAUAGAUGCUUUCAUAUCAGCAGUCACAGCAGAUGAUAUUUACAUUUAGGCUGCUGGUUGCACGUUCCUUAAUCUUUUUGGCUCUGCUCGUUCUAUUGAGAAAAAUGAAAUAUGUAUUGUCAGAAACAGCCUUGCUCCAUAGACACUGACAUCCCCCUAUAACAAGGCAAACCAUGAUGCUCACCAGAGCAGAUUUGGUUCUUCAGGGUUACAGACACAUGCACACAUCUAUAGUGCCAGUGCUGGUGUUUGACGCAGUCCAUUUAUGGCACCUCUUAAAAACUGUGUCUUGUAUUAGUAAGUUGCCAAAUGAAGAUAACAGAAUAUCACAGUUAUAAAGGAUUGGGGUUUGAAGUUGUGGGCUCCUCCUUGGAGAGAUCACAGUGAUGAAUCACGUUGUACCCAGCACUUCUGGUUUCAGUU